CCUACGGGAGGCAGCAGUGGGGGAUAUUGCACAAUGGGGGGAACCCUGAUGCAGCGACGCCGCGUGGGUGAAGAAGCGCCUCGGCGCGUAAAGCCCUGUCAGCAGGGAAGAAAAUGAUGGUACCUGAAGAAGAAGCCCCGGCUAACUACGUGCCAGCAGCCGCGGUAAUACGUAGGGGGCAAGCGUUAUCCGGAUUUACUGGGUGUAAAGGGGGCGCAGACGGCGAUGCAAGCCAGGAGGGAAAGCCCGGGGCCGAACCCCGGGACUGCUCUUGGAACUGGGUGGCUGGAGUGCUGGAGGGGCAGGCGGAAUUCCUGGUGUAGCGGUGAAAUGCGUAGAUAUCAGGAAGAACACCGGUGGCGAAGGCGGCCUGCUGGACUGCAACUGACGUUGAGGCCCGAAAGCGUGGGGAGCAAACAGGAUUAGAUACCCGAGUAGUC
rnacentral:rRNA from 1 species